CUCUAAAGUGAAUACAGUCACUGGAAGCAGAUUUGAGUCCCACAGCAAACACAUAAGCUUUCCACUGUUAAAUUCUCCUCUGCUUCUUUGAAAACCUAAGUGGAAAACUGUGAACAGUGCUUCAUCCUCAUGUAUCAGCAUUUUCUGUUUUCUGUCUGCUGUUCGGACACAGCUUCAUCCUCGUAUAUCAGUACAUUUUCUGCCUGCUGUUUGGACAGGACUCAACCAUGCUGAAACGGUGUGCGCAGAUGUGAGGCCAACAGCAGAGGCAGAAAGGCUUUGUCAACACCAGCAAAUCACUGAUUCUACCUCUGCAAGGUCAGCUUCUGAAGGCAACGUGUCUAAGACCACGGCUCCACAACCGAAACAACGAACAGCCACCAUUGCUUCAUUGACUUCAGCUGAAAUUUCAGAGUGAUGUUUUGGAAAACCAUUUCUCUCUUAUGACAAAGAUGUUUAUCUAAGAUAGAGUGGUAUUCUGUAGCCCAUGCAUAAGCUAGAAAAGCCUUCAGUAACUGAGUACAAGAGCAAGUGAACAUCUGUAGUUGUUAAUGUGCCAAUUGCUAGUUGUAAUCUCCACACGUCACUGGGAUGCCUUCAAACACUGUUUGUUUCCAGCAUUUUGAGUUGAUCUUGAUUACCGCCCUGCUGCUGACAGCUAUUGAAAUGCUAGCCAAUAUCUGAAUUAAACCUAGUUUGGCUGAUCCAGGUAACUGAUGGUCCUGUCAGACUUACUGUUGCAUUUGUGCACUUGAACAAGCAGAGCCUUCUGAUGAUGAACAUCUGUUGACUGGAAUGAGACAAAAAAAAAAAAACCAACAAAAAAAAACAGAUGCAGAUAGAAAUUCUGUGAUGCAGAUCCAUGAGUCUUGGAUGUGCUACUUCCACAGAGAAGGAAAUAAAGCAAAUGCAGAGGGUAGGACUAGAUGAUCC
rnacentral:lncRNA from 1 species